rnacentral:snoRNA from 1 species
AUUGAGGUCUAUCUUGGUGGGGCUUUUUCUGUAGCCAUAUGUCAUUGGAAACGCCUCAUAGAGUAACACUGUGGUUUUGCUUUCCUCACAGGACUAUUUGUUAACUCUGUGGGAAGAAACUACCAGACAGUU